rnacentral:rRNA from 1 species
AUUGAACGCUGGCGGCAGGCCUAACACAUGCAAGUCGAACGAGAGGCGGACGGGUGAGUAAUGUCUGGGAAACUGCCUGAUGGAGGGGGAUAACUACUGGUAACGGUAGCUAAUACCGCAUACCAUAGGAUGUGCCCAGAUGGGAUUAGCUAGGAGGGUGGGUAAAUGAUCACCUAGGCGACGAUCCCUAGCUGGUCUGACAGGGUGCCAAGCCACCCGGCAACGGAGACACGGUCCAGACUAAGACGGUAGGCGGCGGUGGGGAAGAUUGCACAAUGGGCGCAAGCCUGAUGCAGCCAUGCCGCGUGUAUGAAGAAGGCCUUGGGGUUGUAAAGGUCUUUCAGCGGUGAGGCGUUACCAGCAGAAGAAGCACCGGCUAACUCCGUGCCAGCAGCCGCGGUAAUAC